GAUGAACGCUGGCGGCGUGCCUAAUACAUGCAAGUCGAACGAAACUUCUUUAUCACCGAGUGCUUGCACUCACCGAUAAAGAGUUGAGUGGCGAACGGGUGAGUAACACGUGGGCAACCUGCCCAAAAGAGGGGGAUAACACUUGGAAACAGGUGCUAAUACCGCAUAACCAUAGUUACCGCAUGGUAACUAUGUAAAAGGUGGCUAUACUACCGCUUUUGGAUGGGCCCGCGGCGCAUUAGCUAGUUGGUAGGGUAAAGGCUUACCAAGGCAAUGAUGCGUAGCCGAAUUGAGAGGUUGAUCGGCCACAUUGGGACUGAGACACGGCCCAAACUCCUACGGGAGGCAGCAGUAGGGAAUCUUCCACAAUGGGCGAAAGCCUGAUGGAGCAACGCCGCGUGGGUGAAGAAGGUCUUCGGAUCGUAAAGCCCUGUUGUUAGAGAAGAAAGUGCGUGAGAGUAACUGUUCACGUUUCGACGGUAUCUAACCAGAAAGCCACUGCUAACUACGUG
rnacentral:rRNA from 1 species